AUGUUGGAGUAAGUCUCAGGGGCAUUAAUUUAUUGUAGCUGAAGGUCGAGCAGCACAAAAACGUUUGAUCACUACAGACUUAAUACUUAAGGUAUUGAGAAGGACAAGGCAGUGUUCUGACAGGUCUUGAUGUUUGUUUUUUCCCCCCAAACUUUCUCGCCAGUAGCUGCUGUCGUCCUCAUUUAACAGUAGUUCAUGCCUUUAGGACUGCUGCGAUGCUCUUCUCUUUAGGAAACUCCCCAGAAGCCCCAUGCGAGUGGUGCCUAUUGUUUCCAUGAGCGGAGCCUCCUCUCAGUAAGUCCCUGGUUUUUGUCUUGCCUGUUGAUUUUCCCACAUCUCUCCUGAGCUCCCACAAUUCAUGCAGAACUCCUUGGGACUCU
rnacentral:lncRNA from 1 species